UACAGAGGUCCCAAGCGUUGUUCGGAUUUACUGGGCGUAAAGGGUGCGUAGGUGGUCGGAUAAGUCUGAUGUGAAAUCUCCGAGCUUAACUCGGAAAUGGCAUUGGAAACUAUUCGACUAGAGAGUUGGAGGGGGGGACUGGAAUACUUGGUGUAGCAGUGAAAUGCGUAGAUAUCAAGUGGAACACCAGUGGCGAAGGCGAGUCCCUGGACAACUUCUGACACUGAGGCACGAAAGCUAGGGGAGCAAACAGG
rnacentral:rRNA from 1 species